rnacentral:rRNA from 1 species
GGAAAAGAAACCAACAGGGAUUGCCUCAGUAACGGCGAGUGAAGCGGCAACAGCUCAAAUUUGAAAUCUGGCCUUACGGUCCGAGUUGUAAUUUGUAGAGGAUGUUUUGGGCACCGCCCCGGGUUAAAUUUCUUGGAACAGAAUGUCAAAGAGGGUGAGAGUCCCGUCUUGGCCCGUGGUAGGACCUGUGUAAAACUCCUUCGACGAGUCGACUUGUUUGGGAAUGCAGGUCAAAAUGGGUGGUAAAUUUCAUCUAAAGCUAAAUAUUGGCCAGAGACCGAUAGCGCACAAGUAGAGUGAUCGAAAGAUGAAAAGCACUUUGAAAAGAGAGUUAAACAGUAUGUGAAAUUGUUGAAAGGGAAGCGCUGGCAACCAGACUCGAGCGCGGUGUUCCCCCUGGCUUCUGCCUGGGUUAUUUCACCGUGACCGGGCCAUCAUCAGUUUCGGGGGCCGGUUAAAGAUUCGGGGAAUGUAUCCUCUCCUUCGGGGGAGGACUUAUAGCCCUGGGUGUCAUGCGGCCUCCCGGGACUGAGGAACGCGCUUCGGCGAGGAUGAUGGCGUAAUG